rnacentral:lncRNA from 1 species
UGCAGCAUCAAGAGCUAGGAGAUUUUGUCAGGAAGAAGCUGAUAAGCCGUGGGAGCUGCUCUCUGUCAUGAAGAAGCCAGGACUGGCUUCCUCAGGAAGGAAGUGUGCGGCGGCUCCUGUGUGCAGAUACCUGCUGCCAAAUCUGCAAUGCCAUGGCUCUGGAGAUUCAGCAGUUGCUGGUAGGUGAGAACACCCUGAUAUCUUCCCCUUCAUCAGGACCAUUGCAGGGCUCCUCUUGCUUA